rnacentral:rRNA from 1 species
AUUGAACGCUGGCGGCAGGCCUAACACAUGCAAGUCGAGCGGAUGAAGGGAGCUUGCUCCUGGAUUCAGCGGCGGACGGGUGAGUAAUGCCUAGGAAUCUGCCUGGUAGUGGGGGAUAACGUCCGGAAACGGGCGCUAAUACCGCAUACGUCCUGAGGUAGAAAGUGGGGGAUCUUCGGACCUCACGCUAUCAGAUGAGCCUAGGUCGGAUUAGCUAGUUGGUGGGGUAAAGGCCUACCAAGGCGACGAUCCGGAACUGGUCUGAGAGGAUGAUCAGUCACUGGAACUGAGACACGGUCCAGACUCCUACGGGAGGCAGCAGUGGGGAAUAUUGGACAAUGGGCGAAAGCCUGAUCCAGCCAUGCCGCGUGUGUGAAGAAGGUCUUCGGAUUGUAAAGCACUUUAAGUUGGGAGGAAGGGCAGUAAGUUAAUACCUUGCUGUUUUGACGUUACCAACAGAAUAAGCACCGGCUAACUUCGUG